GUUUAACCCAUGCAUCUUCAAAUGGCUAAAGCCAGGUGAGCUGAGUCCCACCAUUAACCUCACCUGUAUCUCUCCCUGUAUGCCAGAGGGAAUCCAUUUAGUUGAAAAGCUGACAGCUAGAGAGUAAGGAAUGUAGUGGCUUGGGUGAGGGGAGAUGCUCUGAUUAGCUGAUGUUUGUGUACUGAGAUUUCAUGCAGGUUUCUUGGGAAGAGCCUUCACUAAGAUUGUAGCUGGUUGUAGCCAGACUGAUGAUGCAGAGGGGAAUGUGGAUAAAAGUGACACAGCACUGGAUUUCUUGGCUAACUGCCCAGGGAAGAGCCUCAGUACCAACCCUUUUUUUGUGGUGUUUGGAAAGCCAAACUAGAACACAAGAUUAUUCAAGUAAUGAUGGGCCAGUUUCUCUGAAAACCUUCAGAAAUGUAUACCUUGAAAUAAGUCAAGGUAUUAGAGAAGUCUCUAAUUAGACUUUGAAAUUGGAGGCAUUGUUGUCUUUUUUUUUUUUUCUAGGACUGAACAAUUGAGUUUGAACUGUUUGUUUAAGGGUUUGAAAUCUGGGAAUUUAUACUCUCAUCCUGCCUUACUGUAUGUGUUUGCAGUUUUCCCUCUGGUUUGAGUUAAUGAAAAUGGUGUUAUCAUCAUCCACAGAACUGUACUUUUUAGGGAUUAAAUCAGUAAGAAGAACCAGUUAUUACUUGUCAUUUGAGUUAGUUUUCUAUCUAGCCUGUGUUUCUGCCUACCCAGUAAUUUCUCACAUUGAACUAGCAGUGGAAAUCCUGCUGCCCUGCAAGAAUAAGUAGUUGUACUUUUUGGCACAAUGCCACAGUGCGAGAUCUGCUCUGUUUCUGACAAACCUGUGUAAAGUCAAAUGUCAUAAUAAGCUGCCUAAUACCAUGUCCAAGAAGGACUGUACCACUACUUGAUUUAUUCAACAUGACACAAAAAACGGAGGAGUUUUGCAUUUAAAGAUAAUUCUUACACACUCGUGAAAGAAGCACAGAGAUCUGCAUCUGCUCGCUGAGAAAUCUUGGGGAUCAUCUGCAUGCUCGUGACUCAUCCUACUUGAUAUUAGGCACUGUUUGUUUAAAUUGCACAACAUACUGAUCCCACCAUGUACCGACUGUUUCCUCGUGUUAUCCGUCUGGAUCUGCUGUCAUGCCUCUUCACGUAUGCAUAUUGAACGGUGAAGCCAAGUGACACUAAUUGCUAAUUCCAUCCUCUCGUUUGGCAUGUCACUCCUAUAUUCUGGCUGGGAAAAAAAAAAAAUAGUGUUAAUUUCAGCCCAUACCUUGUCAGCAUGUUUAAUGUUGUGGGUAAGCAGUUUGUACUAGAACUUGAUUGGGAGAAAUUGUGUCUCGUUUCCUUGUGGAUCAGACACAGUGAAUAUUCUGCUUACCUGUGAUAUUGAAAAAAACUUUUCUCACAGACGGUAAUCAUCAGUCUUGAUUCUUAGCUGUGUUCUCAGUACCAGGAGCAAUAGGGGCUAGGAGGUACAGCUCAGUGCUGAGCAGGGGCCUGUUGUCAAACCUCAUGGCACGCAAGUGUCUAAAACUCACACCAAGCCAAACCAAAUUAAACCCCUGUGUCUGAAAUGCCAUUGAAGUUUCAGUGCCUGGAAUCCAUUGCCAAGCUGUGUGGUGAGGGUUUAAGUGAACAGGCCAAAAGCUACCCCUAGGUGCAAGAGCAACAUGAAGCCCACUGGAACUUGCACGCUUGUGUUCAGCACUGACAAAGUCCAGGUCACAUUGGCUCCAGUUGCUAAGGACCUAUUUCAAUAUUCAAGUAGGCCAGUGGGUGUUUUUCUUUCUCUCUGCUUUGGAAUAGAACCAAGCCUUGUGGAAAGCAUUUUUCCCCCCUCUGAGUUUAUGCUAGAAGUGUUACAAUAAUCCACAUGCAAUAAAGGGAGCACUACUGCAUGCGAAACUACCCA
rnacentral:lncRNA from 1 species